rnacentral:lncRNA from 1 species
ACGCGGCGAAGAAGCGGAGGGCAAGGGCAUGGGUGUGUGUGUGGUAGCAGAGAAAGGUCAGUUCUGAAACAGAGACGGUAAGCAGUUAUUUUAAGAGGGGUAGUUUUGUGGAUGCGAAGAAAUACGCUGUGAUGGGGGCACAUGUAGAAGAGCUGGGAACAUAAGUAACUAGGUUAACUGAUGAUUUGGUGGACAUAUUGAGGAAGCACUAUGCGAUUGAUAUCUACAAGAGUUUGGUUGUCCCUCUGUAUUUAUGUUGACGGUGGGUGUGGAGUAAAUUUUAGUAGGUUUUGAUAAGGCGUGUGGAUCUAUUUUGGUAUGGUAUUAUGUAUUUGUAUGUACGUUGGUAGUUUAUUAUGUAUUGAGGCAUGUGGACCUAUUUUGCAAUAUGUGUACACUGCAAAAUGUUUUUUGUAAGGCAUGUGGACCUUAUAUUUUACAAGAUUAUUUUCUUAUAAUGUACGAUUCUCUCAGACUUGGGAUGUACACUGAAUAUGUGUACAUUGUAGAUGAGUUCGAUAACGAAGGAGCAAAGUUAAUGGUAAUUUAGAUAAGGAAGCGAACAUGUACACGAGAAGUGUUGUGUACCUAUUAGCGCAGUACAUCUUGGUAUUGAUGAUGUUCAUACGAUAUAUGUACAUGUUAAUUUUGUGUACAUGUGUACAUGGUUGUGUACAUAGGCAUGUACAUUUAUUGUGAUGAUGUUCAUACGAUAUGUGUACAUGUUGAGUUUGUGUACAUGUGUACAUGGUUGUACGUAGGCGUGUACAUUUAUAAUGAUGAUGUUCAUACGAUAUGUGUACAUGUGUACAUGGUUGACAUGUCAUAGAAGAAUGUAGGGGGAUGCUCUCAUUAGGAGGGUAG